UGGGGAAUUUUGGACAAUGGGCGAAAGCCUGAUCCAGCAAUGCCGCGUGUGUGAAGAAGGCCUUCGGGUUGUAAAGCACUUUUGUCCGGAAAGAAAUGGCUCUGGUUAAUACCUGGGGUCGAUGACGGUACCGGAAGAAUAAGGACCGGCUAACUACGUGCCAGCAGCCGCGGUAAUACGUAGGGUCCAAGCGUUAAUCGGAAUUACUGGGCGUAAAGCGUGCGCAGGCGGUUGUGCAAGACCGAUGUGAAAUCCCCGAGCUUAACUUGGGAAUGGCAUUGGUGACUGCACGGCUAGAGUGUGUCAGAGGGGGGUAGAAUUCCGCGUGUAGCAGUGAAAUGCGUAGAGAUGUGGAGGAAUACCGAUGGCGAAGGCAGCCCCCUGGGAUAACACUGACGCUCAUGCACGAAAGCGUGGCGAGCAAACAGG
rnacentral:rRNA from 1 species